CGUGACAGUCGAGCGGAUUAUCUGGACCUUGUUCCGUGAUGUUAGCGCCCGAGGGGUGACUAACACGUGUGUAAACCGCCCGGUAAAACGGGGAUAACUCCGGGAAACCGGGCCUAAACCCGGAUGGUUGUCUGAACCCCAUGGUUUUAAAAUAAAAGGGGGCUUCGGCUACCACUUACAAAUGGCCCCCCGGCCCAUUACCUAUUUGGUGAGGAAACGGCUCACCAUUGCAACAAUCCUUACCCAACCUGAAAGGGUAAUCGCCCCCCCUGGGACUGAAACACGGCCCAAACUCCUAGGGGAGGCAACAUUAGGGAAUCUUCCCCAAUGAACGAAGGUCAGACGGAUCAACGCCGCGGGUGUGUGGAGGGUUUUCGGAUCCAACACCUCUGUUGUUAGGAAAAAAAGACACUGCCCUUCAAAUAGGGCGGCCCCUGAAGGGUACCUACCAAAAAAGCCAUGGUUAACUACUUGCCAGACCCGGCGGUAAAUACUUAGGUGGCAACCGUUGUCAGGAAUAGUUGGGCGUAAAGGGCUCGCAGGCGUUUUCUUAGUUCUGAUGGAAACGCCCCCGCCUCACCCGGGGAGGGUCAUUGAAAUGGGGGAAAUUUGAGUGCAAAGAAGGAGAAGGAAACUCCACGUGUACCGGUGAAUGCGUAAAAAUGUGGACGAACACAUUGUGGCAAGGCAACUCUCUGGUCUGUAACUGACAUGAGGAGCAAAGCCUGGAGAGCGAACAGGACUAGAUACGCUGGUAGCCUACGCAGUACACGUAUGAGUGCUAAGUGGUAGGGCGUUUCCCGCCCUUCUAGGGCUGCAGUUCACCGCAUUACCACACGUCCCCCCCUGCGGGAAUGACGCGCCGCAAGACUUCUCGACAACUCACAGGAAUUGACGGCGUGCCCGCACAAUGCAGGGCGAGCAAGUGGUUUAUAUCGAAUGCCACGCGAAGAACCUAUCAGCAGCGUGCUUGACAUCAUCUGACAGUCCUAGAGAUAGGUACGUCACCUUCGGGGGCAGACUGACAGGUGAGCGCAUGGUUGUUCCUCAGCUACGAGCCGAGCAGAUGUAUGCGUUAAGUCCCGCAACAGAGCGACAACCCUUGACUCUAUCUUGACAGCAUUCAGUUGGCCACAUUAACGUAACUGCGCGGUGACAAACCGGAGGAAGGCUGGGGAUCACGUCAAAUCAUCAUGAAUCCUUAUGUACCUGGGCUACACACGUGCUACAAUGGACAGAACAAAGGGCAGCGAAACCGUGAGGUUAAGCCAAUCCCACAAAUCUGUUUUCAGUUCGGAUCGCAGUCUGCAACUCGACUGCGUGAAGCUGGAAUCGCUAGUAAUCGCGGAUCAGCAUGCCGCGGUGAAUACGUUCCCGGGCCUUGUACACACCGCCAGUCACACCACGAGAGUUUGUAACACCGGAAGUCGGUGUAGGUAACCUUUAUGAGACAGCUGCAGAUU
rnacentral:rRNA from 1 species